rnacentral:rRNA from 1 species
UACGUAGGGUGCGAGCGUUAAUCGGAAUUACUGGGCGUAAAGCGUGCGCAGGUGGUUUGCUAAGACCGAUGUGAAAUCCCCGGGCUCAACCUGGGAACUGCAUUGGUGACUGGCAAGCUAGAGUAUGGCAGAGGGAGGUAGAAUUCCACGUGUAGCAGUGAAAUGCGUAGAGAUGUGGAGGAAUACCGAUGGCGAAGGCAGCCCCCUGGGCCAAUACUGACGCUCAUGCACGAAAGCGUGGGGAGCAAACAGG